AUAGCAUUAAUGCAUAAGAAAUUCCAGCAUAAAUAGCGUUAAUAAUAAUCUGGACAAAGGAAACAAAAUACCAAUAUAGAAUAGCAAGUAAUAGUAACGUACAGUAAACACAAAUCAUCGAUGAGUAACCCUGCUGACCCACCCCCAACCCCGGGAGAAGCGAACGAAAAACUCUAGGGUCCCCUAUCCUACAACCCUGAUUCUAGACCUCCAGACUUUCCUAUCAAUGGUCAUGUCCUCGGAAACCUGCAUUCUAGCCAUGUCCUGCCUACCCGGGAAAGGAGUACAAAAUAUUCUAGAAGCCCCAUAUCCUACAACCCUAAUACUAGACCUCCAAGCUUUCCUAUCAAGGGCCAUGUCCUCGGAAAUUCACAUUCAAGCCAUGUCCUGCCUAAUCACCUCUCCCCAAUACUUCUUGGGCCUCCCUCUGCCGCGCCGACCGCCAACAAUCUCCAGACCCCACUAAGUGGAAUUAUACUGGGUUGUUGUUGUUGUUGUAAAAAUUGCAUUCUCAUGAGUUGCCCAGUGCCGCUUUCUGCAUUCCUUUCUCGUCUCACCUGAGUGAAGUUUCUGCUAGUGAUUCCAUUUAUAACUAAAUAAGCCUUUAAGGAGUCCAUUAAUUCUUAUGAAUAAUUAUUCAGGAAUAUGCGUGACUAAACAGUAGCUCAGGAAUCUCCAACCCAAAUUUGGCACAUAACCAUGGAAUCUGGUUCUAACAAAAGUCCAGUUUAACAUCGUGUCUUGAAAAUUUUCUAAUUUAGGUG
rnacentral:lncRNA from 1 species